rnacentral:rRNA from 1 species
UACAGAGGUCUCAAGCGUUGUUCGGAUUCAUUGGGCGUAAAGGGUGCGUAGGCGGCGCGGUAAGUCGGGUGUGAAAUCUCGGAGCUUAACUCCGAAACUGCAUUCGAUACUGCCGUGCUUGAGGACUGGAGAGGAGACUGGAAUUUACGGUGUAGCGGUGAAAUGCGUAGAUAUCUGGAGGAACACCGGGUGGCGAAGGCGGCAUCCUGGACCAACACUGACGCUGAGGAGCGAAAGCCAGGGGA